CAAUAGUACAACUUCUAAUAACUGGACCUCAUGAAUAUUCCAAUACGCAUGAUGUCGAUAGAAAUGCAACAUCUCUACAAAUAAUAAACUUCACAAAUAGAAUGGAAUUUUCAAAUUUCAACUUACUUCAAAUUGAACGAAACUUUAGAUACUUUAGAAAAAAAGCGCCUUUAAUUACUCGACGGGCAAGUCACGUUGCGCCAAAAUUGAAACUCUGAAAUGGAAAGUAAGCGCAGCGAGCGAACAAUACCCUGAAAGGGCUAACAUGAGGCUGGUCAGACGGCGAGGUGUCGAAUCGUGGACAGAACGUUACGAAACUGCAUAUGCAAGAUGUUUGCCGGGAGAAGAGGUGCACGAUAGCCAGCGGAACGUGCGGAAGCUUUAAAAUUACCACUUACACGUACUUGCGCUAACAGAUAAACGCCGUCCAGUAUUUACCGAUUCACGCUUCGGUAACCUUCGACGUCACUAAAAGUCAGCCAUGUACGUUCCUGUAUGUGUUGCAUGUGUAAACAGGUAACGAAGUGGAGAAGCACUUGCGUCAGAGUACUCCAUCGACGCAUUAAUUAUGGCGAUUAAAGAUUACAGAUGAUCAGGACGAAUUGAGGAAGACAAGAAUAAUAUGAA